CGGUUAGGAUUCCUGGUUUUCACCCAGGCGGCCCGGGUUCGACUCCCGGUAUGGGAACACAGUUUUUUCAAUGAAUCAGACCAAACCGAUACAGCUAGAUUCUGGCAUACACGAACAAAGAUGACUGCACACAGCUAGGCUUUGUAUUUGUGGUCUGCCUCAACAAAACCUAAAGCCCCAAUUGUCAUCUUGCUUUGUCAAGUCCGGUUUGACAUGACGUUAUUCAACUUUCUCGCAAAAUGGAGCGAUCCCAGUGAACAUAUUACAGGAAAAUAAAAAGACCAUCACCAAAAGCAACACUGUCGCUGCCAACCUGGAAAGGCAUCAGUGCUGGGAGAAAAUUACCGACUGUGUAGAUCCGUAAUAAUAUUAUGUUGACAAUAGCGUGCAGUGAUCGCGUGUACCUAAUCAUUUACAAACUAAUGAGCCUGCACUUGGUGUCAUGCAGGAUGCUUGUGAUUGGAUAACGAGGCGCAUCCGUGCCCUUUAAAACCGGAAAACCUGUUACUGUUGCAAAAUGGCGUGCGUGAAAGCACAGAGAGAAGAGUUUUUCUGUUAUGGCGACGGUGUAGCAGCAGACCCAUGUCGCCAUGAACUGGGCCGGUGGACUCCACCACGCCCGUUCCUUAGCUGUUCAAGACAUCGGGGCUGGAAAGAGCAAAUACCAUGCACUGAAUUACCCACGAAGCCAUCUUUAAACCGGACGUAAAGCGAUAUACCAGCGCAGUGGUCUUUGAGUGUGGAGCCGGUUCAACGUCACUAUUAAAGAAGUGAUAGAGGAGGAAGAGAGAGUGUUGGUUUUGAUUUUGUCCAAAUAAAGUAUUUUUAUGUUACUUGAAUAUGAAAUUCUUUAAAUUACUAAGUAGUGGCACAAAGCAAAUGAGUGGUUUGCUGAAGUAGAUUGUAGUGGUUAAUUGAAGCGUUUUGUAACAUGCUAGAGCUAAACACAAUUUCAAACAAAAUACACCUGACAAUUGUUUUCAAAAACCCACCAUUUCAAUCACAUGUAGCCACCGUGCCCAGCUUUUUUUUUUAUUUUUUUUUUAACACCCGCUGGAAGCCCAAAGCCCCUCGUAUCUCACGCGCGGGAUAUGCAACCAUAAAUGAGGACCGUACAGCAUUCCUAUUUCUGUUAUUUCCAAUAUCAGUGCGCCCUC